rnacentral:rRNA from 1 species
CCUGAGAAACCCAAAAGAUCGAAUGGGGAGAUUCAUCGUCAGCUCAUUUUGUAUAUGUAUGAGUUAUGAUGCGGGUUACUACUUGUAGUAUUGCCUGCACAUUCUUAUAUAUUUAAUUGCAAGAUGUUGUCGGCGUGCACUUCUCCCCUAGUAGGACGUCGCGACCUGUUGGGUGUCGGUCUACGACUCAAGUGAUAGACUUUGAUGUGUGUAAUUAAAAAAGCAUAUUAAAGAUCCUUGAUGUUUUCUGACCGGCUACUUGGCAGUAUUCGUAUGGUAUUUAGCCGCUAAAUUUUUAAUUAAGCGUUUAUAUCCGUCACAAGCGAGGCUAAUUUACUGAUAGUACGGACCUAGUGCCGUCGUUGGUAUUGGCCAGCUGUUGGUUGUAUGGUAUUCUAUAACUGGCUAAAAUUAAUUACCGGUCGGCGAUGCUACUGCUUUGGGUACUUUCAGG